CUUGGAUAGGUUUUCCUGGUGUUCUGGGCCCCGUUUCACGAAGCAGGUUCAACCAACUCUGGAGUCUAACCCUGAACUCUGAGUUGAUCUACUCUGAGACAGGAAACUCUGAGUUACGGGUUUCAGAACAGGUGAUUUCAAUUGGUUCAAUCAACACAGAGUUUGUUCACUCUGAGUUAAGCGCGUGCACCACGACUUUAAAAAGCCCUGAUCAAUGGAGCCCCGUUCCCUCGAUUCACCAUGGCAACGAGUGAUAAGAAAAGAUCGUCAUAUUUCAGUCCUCUGGAACUGGAUAUAUUAAUGCGGUCAUACGGCGAAUUUGAAAGCAACACGGCUGCAGCAGCGAAAGAACGCGAGUCGGCGUGGGAGAAGAUUACUGCUCGAGUCAAUGCAUGUAAUCCCACCGGCGAAAAAAGAACGUGGAAGCAGCUGAAGAUGAAAUAUAAAAACAUUGUUCAAACAGCCAACAGAAAGCGGGCAUCUGCCCGCAAAACUGGCGGAGGACCACCCCCACCACGUCUGACCGAGGCAGAGGAGCAGGCCAUGAGUCAGACUGUCGGGAGGCCAGUCGCAGAGGGGAUCCCUGGAGGGACCUCAUCCUCGGACAUGAUUACACAGGAGCCACCAGCUUUGAUAAGAUGUAAUAGGCCUAGGCCUCAAACUUUUUUGGGGCCUAUAUUUCAAUGUUAAUUUCCCUUUCAUGUGUUUUUCUUUUGUCUCAACAGAUUCUGAAGGCGUACUUGGUCUAGUGGAUCCAUGUGCCACUUUAACUGAUGAUGAAGAUGAUGGGACCACAAUGUCUGCUGCCUUCUCUGUGGUGUCUGAGAGGGAGCCCGAGAGGCCUACAGAGAGCAUGGCUGGGCAGCAGGAAGAGGGUCCCUCAACCUCCACAGCACAGAUUGACACACUACCACUAAAAGAAAUCUACAAAGUGCAUUUAUUAAAAACAGUACAAAAAACAGAAAAUGAAAUGGUGCUGCUGGACCGCCAGAUAACUAAAACGGAUCUGGAAAUUGAAUUAUUAAAACACAAGUUAGAGGUGGGUGCAUGGU